rnacentral:rRNA from 1 species
GAUGAACGCUGGCGGCGUGCCUAAUACAUGCAAGUCGAGCGAACAGACGAGGAGCUUGCUCCUCUGACGUUAGCGGCGGACGGGUGAGUAACACGUGGAUAACCUACCUAUAAGACUGGGAUAACUUCGGGAAACCGGAGCUAAUACCGGAUAAUAUAUUGAACCGCAUGGUUCAAUAGUGAAAGACGGUUUUGCUGUCACUUAUAGAUGGAUCCGCGCCGCAUUAGCUAGUUGGUAAGGUAACGGCUUACCAAGGCAACGAUGCGUAGCCGACCUGAGAGGGUGAUCGGCCACACUGGAACUGGGACACGGUCCAGGCUCCUACGGGAGGCAGCAGUAGGGAAUCUUCCGCAAUGGGCGAAAGCUUGACGGAGCAACGCCGCGUGAGUGAUGAAGGUCUUCGGAUCGUAAAACUCUGUUAUUAGGGAAGAACAAAUGUGUAAGUAACUAUGCACGUCUUGACGGUACCUAAUCAGAAAGCCACGGCUAACUACGUG